rnacentral:rRNA from 1 species
GACGAACGCUGGCGGCGUGCCUAAUACAUGCAAGUAGAACGCUGAAGCUUGGUGCUUGCACCGAGCGGAUGAGUUGCGAACGGGUGAGUAACGCGUAGGUAACCUGCCUGGUAGCGGGGGAUAACUAUUGGAAACGAUAGCUAAUGCCGCAUAAGAGUAGAUGUUGCAUGACAUUUGCUUAAAAGGUGCAAUUGCAUCACUACCAGAUGGACCUGCGUUGUAUUAGCUAGUUGGUGAGGUAACGGCUCACCAAGGCAACGAUACAUAGCCGACCUGAGAGGGUGAUCGGCCACACUGGGACUGAGACACGGCCCAGACUCCUACGGGAGGCAGCAGUAGGGAAUCUUCGGCAAUAGACGGAAGUCUGACCGAGCAACGCCGCGUGAGUGAAGAAGGUUUUCGGAUCGUAAAGCUCUGUUGUAAGAGAAGAACGAGUGUGAGAGUGGAAAGUUCACACUGUGACGGUAUCUUACCAGAAAGGGACGGCUAACUACGUG